rnacentral:rRNA from 1 species
GGUUCGAUUAUGGCUCAGAUUGAACGCUGGCGGGAUGCUUUACACAUGCAAGUCGAACGGCAGCACGGACUUCGGUCUGGUGGCGAGUGGCGAACGGGUGAGUAAUGUAUCGGAACGUGCCUAGUAGCGGGGGAUAACUACGCGAAAGCGUAGCUAAUACCACAUACGCCCUUCGGGGGAAAGCGGGGGGACCUUCGGGCCUCGCACUAUUAGAGCGGCCGAUAUCGGAUUAGCUAGUUGGUGAGGUAACGGCUCCGCAAAGGCGACGAUCCGUAAGCUGGUUUGAGAGAACGACCAGCCACACUGGGACUGAGACACGGCCCAGACUCCUACAGGAGGCAGUGGGGUACACUGACCAAUGGAAACCCUGAUCCAGCCAUCCAGCGUGUGCGAUGAAGGCCUUCGGGUUGUAAAGCACUUUUGGCAGAAGAAACGGCACGGGAUAUUACCCGUGCAGCUGACGAACACCUGCAGAUAAAGCACCAGCUAUACGUGCCAGCAGCCGCGGUAAUACGUAGGUGCAAGCGUUAAUCGGAAUUACUGGGCGUAAAGCGUGCGCGACGGUUCGGAAAGAAAAGAUGUGAAAUCCCAGAGCUUAACUUUGGAACUGCAUUUUUAACUACCGAGCUAGAGUGUGUCAGAGGGAGAGUGGAAUUCCGCGUGUAGCAGUGAAAUGCGUAGAUAUGCGGAGGAACACCGAUAGCGAAGCAGCCUCCUGGGAUAACACUGACGCUCAUGCACGAAAGCCUGGGAGCAAACGGGAUUAGAUACCCUGGUAGUCCACGCCUAAACGAUGUCAACUAGCUGUUGGGGCCUUCGGGCCUUGGUAGCGCAACUAACGCUGAAGUUGACCGCCAUAGAGAGUACGGUCGCAAGAUUAAAAAGCUCAAGGAAUUGACGGGGACCCGCACAAGCGGUGGAUGAUGUGGAUUAAUUCGAUGCAGCACAUGAAAAAGAACCUUACCUACCGCUGACAUGUCUGGAAUCCCGAAGAGAUUUGGGAGUGCUCGCAAGAGAACCGGAACACAGGUGCUGCAUGGCUAUCGUCCGAAAAUACGUGUCGUAGAGAUGUUAGGUUAAGUCCGCAACGAGCGCAGCCCUUGUCAUUAGUUGCUACGAAGGGCACUCUAAUGGGACUGCAGUGACAAACCGGAGGAAGGUGGGGAUGACGUCAAGUCCUCGUAGCCCUUAUGGUGGAACUACACGUCAUACAAUGGUCGGGACAGGGUCGCCAACCCGCGAGGGGGAGCCAAUCCCAGAAACCCGAUCGUAGUCCGGAUCGCAGUCUGCAACUCGACUGCGUGAAGUCCGAAUCGCUAGUAAUCGCGAAUCAGCAUGUGGCAUUGAAUACGUUCCCGGGUCUUGUACACACCGCCCCGUCACACCAUGGAGUGGGUUUUAUAAAGUAGUUAGCCUAACCAUGAGGCGAUUACCACGGUAGGAUUCACGACUGAAAUUGAAGUCGUAACAAGGUAA